CCUACGGGAGGCAGCAGUGAGGAAUAUUGGUCAAUGGUCGGGAGACUGAACCAGCCAAGCCGCGUGAGGGAUGAAGGUACAGAGUAUCGUAAACCUCUUUUGUCAGGGAACAAAGGCGGGGACGCGUCCCCGGAUGAGUGUACCUGAAGCAAAAGCAUCGGCUAACUCCGUGCCAGCAGCCGCGGUAAUACGGAGGAGGCGAGCGUUAUCCGGAUUUAUUGGGUUUAAGGGGUGCGCAGGCGGUAUGUUACGUCAGCGGUAAAAGCCCGGGGCUCACCCCCGGCCCGCCGUUGAAACUGGCAGUCGCGAGUUGGAGAGAAGUAUGCGGAAUGCGCGGUGUAGCGGUGAAAUGCAUAGAUAUCGCGCAGAACUCCGAUGGCGAAGGUAGCAUGCCGGCUCCACACUGACGCUGAGGCACGAAAGCGUGGGUAUCGAACAGGAUUAGAUACCCGUGUAGUC
rnacentral:rRNA from 1 species